rnacentral:rRNA from 2 species
ACAAAGAAGAGUUUGAUCCUGGCUCAGGAUGAACGCUAGCGAUAGGCCUAACACAUGCAAGUCGAGGGGCAGCAUGGCGGUAGCAAU